rnacentral:rRNA from 1 species
CCUAUCAGCUUUAGACGGUAGGGUAUUGGCCUACCGUGGCUAUGACGGGUAACGGGGAAUUAGGGUUCGAUUCCGGAGAGGGAGCCUGAGAAACGGCUACCACAUCUAAGGAAGGCAGCAGGCGCGCAAAUUACCCAAUCCUAAUACAGGGAGGUAGUGACAAGAAAUAACAAUACAGAGCCUUACGGUUUUGUAAUUGGAAUGAGUUAAGUAUAAACCCCUUAACAAGUAUCAAUUGGAGGGCAAGUCUGGUGCCAGCAGCCGCGGUAAUUCCAGCUCCAAUAGCGUAUAUUAAAGUUGUUGCAGUUAAAAAGCUCGUAGUUAAUUUUCUGUUAAUUUUUAUAUACAAUGCUACGGUAUUUAUAUAAUAUUAACAUAAUUCAUAUUACUUUUUAGUAUAUGAAACUUUACUUUGAGAAAAUUAGAGUGCUUAAAGCAGGCUAUUGCCUUGAAUACUCCAGCAUGGAAUAAUAUUAAGGAUUUUUAUUCUUCUUAUUGGUUCUAGAAUAAAAAUAAUGAUUAAUAGGGACAGUUUGGGGAACAUUUAUCA